rnacentral:rRNA from 1 species
UCUUGGGUCAUUUAGAGGAAGUAAAAGUCGUAACAAGGUUUCCGUAGGUGAACCUGCGGAAGGAUCAUUAUCGUAGGGCUUCGGCCCUGUCGAGAUAGAACCCUUGCCUUUUUAAGUACCUUUCGUUUCCUCGGCAGGCUCGCCUGCCGAUGGACCCCCCAAAAAACACUUUGCAGUACCUGUAAUAGUCUGAACAACAAACAAAAAAAUUAAAACUUUCAACAACGGAUCUCUUGGUUCUGGCAUCGAUGAAGAACGCAGCGAAAUGCGAUAAGUAGUGUGAAUUGCAGAAUUCAGUGAAUCAUCGAAUCUUUGAACGCACAUUGCGCCCUUUGGUAUUCCUUAGGGCAUGCCUGUUCGAGCGUCAUUUAAACCUUCAAGCUCAGCUUGGUGUUGGGUGACUGUCCGCUGCCCUCGGGUGCGGACUCGCCUCAAAAUCAUUGGCGGCCGGUACAUUGGCUUCGAGCGCAGCAGAAACGCGAACUCGAGCCCGUUGUAUUGGCUCCCAGAAGCUAUCUUCAUAAUUUUGACCUCGGAUCAGGUAGGGAUACCCGCUGAACUUAAGCAUAUCAAUAAGCGGAGGAAC